AUUGAACGCUGGCGGCAUGCCUUACACAUGCAAGUCGAACGGCAGCACGGGUGCUUGCACCUGGUGGCGAGUGGCGAACGGGUGAGUAAUACAUCGGAACAUGUCCUGUAGUGGGGGAUAGCCCGGCGAAAGCCGGAUUAAUACCGCAUACGAUCUACGGAUGAAAGCGGGGGACCUUCGGGCCUCGCGCUAUAGGGUUGGCCGAUGGCUGAUUAGCUAGUUGGUGGGGUAAAGGCCUACCAAGGCGACGAUCAGUAGCUGGUCUGAGAGGACGACCAGCCACACUGGGACUGAGACACGGCCCAGACUCCUACGGGAGGCAGCAGUGGGGAAUUUUGGACAAUGGGCGAAAGCCUGAUCCAGCAAUGCCGCGUGUGUGAAGAAGGCCUUCGGGUUGUAAAGCACUUUUGUCCGGAAAGAAAUCCUUGGCCCUAAUACGGUCGGGGGAUGACGGUACCGGAAGAAUAAGCACCGUCUAACUACGUG
rnacentral:rRNA from 1 species